CGCGUAGGCGGUUUGAUAAGUCAGAUGUGAAAGCCCACGGCUUAACUGUGGAAGUGCAUUUGAAACUGUCAGACUUGAGUAUCAGAGGGGAAAGUGGAAUUCCCGGUGUAGAGGUGAAAUUCGUAGAUAUCGGGAGGAAUACCGGUGGCGAAGGCGACUUUCUGGCUGAAUAUGACGCUGAGGCGCGAAAGCGUGGGGAGCAAACA
rnacentral:rRNA from 1 species